rnacentral:lncRNA from 1 species
UAAAAUUUUGUACGAAAAAAAUCUUCAAGGAAAGAAACUUACUAACUCCCAAAAUCCAGAGAAUGAACUGUUUUCAGAAAGAUGCCUGCAAAACCUACACUACAUCAAGAAGAUCCAGAAUGAACUUUGAGAUAUAGUUAAUAGAACUGAAGGUUGAAUGAACAUUUAUUUUGAUUAUAUACUCUUAUGCCAAAAGGGGUCUGCCCCCUAAUUGGUUUUUGUCAAUGCACCCAACAAAACAUUGGUUUUGCUUCCUCUCUCUUCUAUUUCCCUCUUAUCUCUAACUAUUAUAGUUUUCCUCAUAGAAGGUGAAAUUUUAUAUGCACCUGUAGUUAGAAGAUUUUAGAGGUACAAGAUGAUUAUAUUAAGUGAUCAACUGGGGAGACUAGUCUCCUGAUCACCAUCAGGGAAUUGUGAAAUUGAGAUUUACUCCACCUUACUUAUUCUUUAGAAUUUUAGCCACCAGGAAGGUAUACACCUCCACUUAAGGAUUAAGUAUGGGAGGGUUAGGUCUAUGACCCAAGUGUGCUAGCAAGUGACAAAUCAGAAACAACUGACUGCCCUCCUGGGCAGUCCAAAGCCAAGUUUAAGCCACCAUUGGUACACAUAAGACACAGGAAGUGAUGCAAAGAACUGCCUUUAUAUUUCGCAGUCACUUCCUGUGAGGAGGUUUUCUCCUUGGAACUUGACUAUGGAGGAGCUACGGUUUGAGAUCUCAGACUGCUUCCCCUUGGACUGCCACAUGAAUGAACAGUCAGGAGGUCCUACCCAGCGAUGUGUGUUUACUUCAACUCAAGACGGAAGGGUUGUUCUUUCCACUGGCUUUCCAAUCAAGACACUGACAGCCAGCCAGCCAGCCAUCAAAUUCCCUGCUGGUGAGACUCUGCCUCCUGUUCUUUCUCUGGAUCUUCUGCACACAUAUAAUUGCAGAUGCAUGGGCCCCCUAAGCAAAAGAAGACCCAGAUUUCCUCCUUCUUCUCCUGCCACCCAGUGGAUUUUCCUCCAACCAGAAGUCAUGAAAAUGCAUCUGGAUCCCAGAGAGGAGCUGAUGUUUGAUUCUGCACAUAGUAUGAAAGAAAAAGUCUCCGUCCAGUAUAUCACUGUUUUGUGCCUCUCCUAUGUGUGGUGUCAUGUAUUCUUUCUGCUAGCUGUCUCCCCACUGCUUCUGGUAAGUGAAUACUGCCAUCUGGCAGGCCCAGCCAUCCAUAGGGGAACCACACAGCCUCCAGGAGGGUCAGAAUCUCAGGCCCCACCUGGUUCAGUGCCCCCUGCCAUCCCAUCCCCUCCCCUCUCCAAAUAUUUAAGGAGAAAAGGGCGAAGGUCCAAGUCUUCUGUAGCUUCUUUAUAG